rnacentral:lncRNA from 1 species
GUAGGGGAAAUAAUUGUAUGUUGUUAGCAAUGAAUAUAUGUAAACCUUUAAAAAUGAAUUAAUGUUUUUGAUAUAGCAUGUUUAAUUCAAGCUAGUCUGUGUUCAAUUAUUGGAAGCAGGGAGUGAACGCUCUAAGAAAUAAAAUAACCUAGGGUGAAACACCUUAUUUUAUGAAAAACUAAUUUUUAGGAGCAUUUUCUUUUAUACUAUGUAAAAAAAUCCCUGAAAGAUGAACAGACUUUGACAGCUGUUAUAGGUGAGAGCCUCAAGUAAAGAUAAAAUUAAAUGUUUUCCUUAAAUGCUAUUGCCCAAAUAAUGAAUAUCCAUAAUUGAAAACUGAGAUUACCUUAUACUUUGCUUUGUUCUCUCUGCCAGAGUCCUACCCACUGUAUUAGUUGUUAGAGUUGUGGAACUUAACCGAAGCUUUCUCUGGAUUCCAGAUGUUUUAAGAAUAUUUUCAGCUGCAUGGCUUGACAGCCUUGGGAUUCCCUCACACAUUCACAGUCUUUUUUGGAUCAGUCUGAUGUGAGCAUGAAAACUGGGAGUUGUGGAGCCCACUUAGGAAAUGAUUGCAAUUGUCCAGGAGACAGAUGAUGGUAAUUAAGUUUCCAUCAGCCUGGAACUCAGGACAGAAGAUACAUAUUCUGUAUGUAGAGAAUCACUGGAGGUCAAAUGUCUUUGCCAAUUUGAGUUUUUCCACUUGAACAAGAAAAGACUGUCAAGGGAAAGCCAAUCAAUUUCACAAUGUUUAGGUAAGUAUAAAUGUAAUAAAGAAUAUUACAUUUGAAUGGAUUUAGUAAUUAAAAAGCAUAAUGGAAAAUGGAAAGUAAAAACUGCUGUACAGAAAAGCCAUCUUAUUACUUAGUGUAAUUAUUUAUGAAUAAAUUUUGCAUCUCAAAAGACAUGAAAAUUUUUACUUCGAAAGAAAACUACAAAACAAAGAAAUGGAAAUUUAUUUGAUAAUUUCAAUAGCUUUUCAGUUCCCAGAAAAAUAGAGACUCAAUCCAGUCUCUUUACUUUUUAAGACUGGAUUGUUAAUUUGGGGUA